rnacentral:rRNA from 1 species
AUACGGAGGGUCCAAGCGUUAUCCGGAAUCAUUGGGUCUAAAGGGUCCGCAGGCGGUCAAUUAAGUCAGAGGUGAAAGCCCAUCGCUCAACGAUGGAACUGCCUUUGAUACUGGUUGACUUGAGUUAUACGGAAGUAGAUAGAAUAAGUAGUGUAGCGGUGAAAUGCAUAGAUAUUACUUAGAAUACCGAUUGCGAAGGCAGUCUACUACGUAUAUACUGACGCUGAGGGACGAAAGCGUGGGGAGCGAACAGGAUUAGAAACCCUAGUAGUCC